rnacentral:rRNA from 1 species
AUUGAACGCUGGCGGCAGGCCUAACACAUGCAAGUCGAACGAGUGGCGGACGGGUGAGUAAUGUCUGGGAAACUGCCUGAUGGAGGGGGAUAACUACUGGAAACGGUAGCUAAUACCGCAUACCAUCGGAUGUGCCCAGAUGGGAUUAGCUCGUGGGUGGGGUAAAGGCUCACCUAGGCGAAGAUCCCUAGCUGGUUUGAGAGGACGACCAGCCACACUGGGACUGAGACACGGCCCAGACGCCUACGGGAGGCAGCAGUGGGGAAUAUUGGACAAAGGGGGAAACCCUAAUCCAGCCAGCCCGCGUGUAUGAAGAAGGCCUGCGGGUUGUAAAGUACUGUUGGCAGAGAAGCGGUAUCUGCAGAAUAAGCACCGGCUAACUACGUGCCAGCCGCCGCGGUAAUAC